rnacentral:rRNA from 1 species
UGCAAGUCGAGCGGACAGAAGGGAGCUUGCUCCCGGAUGUUAGCGGCGGACGGGUGAGUAACACGUGGGUAACCUGCCUGUAAGACUGGGAUAACUCCGGGAAACCGGAGCUAAUACCGGAUAGUUCCUUGAACCGCAUGGUUCAAGGAUGAAAGACGGUUUCGGCUGUCACUUACAGAUGGACCCGCGGCGCAUUAGCUAGUUGGUGGGGUAAUGGCUCACCAAGGCGACGAUGCGUAGCCGACCUGAGAGGGUGAUCGGCCACACUGGGACUGAGACACGGCCCAGACUCCUACGGGAGGCAGCAGUAGGGAAUCUUCCGCAAUGGACGAAAGUCUGACGGAGCAACGCCGCGUGAGUGAUGAAGGUUUUCGGAUCGUAAAGCUCUGUUGUUAGGGAAGAACAAGUGCGAGAGUAACUGCUCGCACCUUGACGGUACCUAACCAGAAAGCCACGGCUAACUACGUGCCAGCAGCCGCGGUAAUACGUAGGUGGCAAGCGUUGUCCGGAAUUAUUGGGCGUAAAGGGCUCGCAGGCGGUUUCUUAAGUCUGAUGUGAAAGCCCCCGGCUCAACCGGGGAGGGUCAUUGGAAACUGGGAAACUUGAGUGCAGAAGAGGAGAGUGGAAUUCCACGUGUAGCGGUGAAAUGCGUAGAGAUGUGGAGGAACACCAGUGGCGAAGGCGACUCUCUGGUCUGUAACUGACGCUGAGGAGCGAAAGCGUGGGAGCGAACAGGAUUAGAUACCCUGGUAGUCCACGCCGUAAACGAUGAGUGCUAAGUGUUAGGGGGUUUCCGCCCUUAGUGCUGCAGCUAACGCAUUAAGCACUCCGCCUGGGGAGUACGGUCGCAAGACUGAAACUCAAAGGAAUUGACGGGGGCCCGCACAAGCGGUGGAGCAUGUGGUUUAAUUCGAAGCAACGCGAAGAACCUUACCAGGUCUUGACAUCCUCUGACAACCCUAGAGAUAGGGCUUUCCCUUCGGGGACAGAGUGACAGGUGGUGCAUGGUUGUCGUCAGCUCGUGUCGUGAGAUGUUGGGUUAAGUCCCGCAACGAGCGCAACCCUUGAUCUUAGUUGCCAGCAUUUAGUUGGGCACUCUAAGGUGACUGCCGGUGACAAACCGGAGGAAGGUGGGGAUGACGUCAAAUCAUCAUGCCCCUUAUGACCUGGGCUACACACGUGCUACAAUGGACAGAACAAAGGGCUGCGAGACCGCAAGGUUUAGCCAAUCCCAUAAAUCUGUUCUCAGUUCGGAUCGCAGUCUGCAACUCGACUGCGUGAAGCUGGAAUCGCUAGUAAUCGC